GUGAAUCAUCGAAUCUUUGAACGCAAAUUGCACUUUCUGGUAUUCCUUAAAGUAUGCCUGUUUGAGGGUCGGUUAAAUAUAAAUCGUUGUUUUUGCUUCCUUUCUUUGUGACGCGUCUGAAUUUAAUCGUCUUACCUUCGGUUAAGUUACGUAAAAUUUUUGCAUGGUUUUCGAACGUGUUUAAAGCGCUUACGUACGUUGCAUGUAUCUAAUGCUGAUUAGGGUCGGUCAUUCCCAUAAUUCUCGCCUAUAAUUGUUCAUUAAAUGACCUCAAAUCAGGUAAGAAUACCCGCUGUACUUA
rnacentral:misc_RNA from 1 species